GGCGCCGCUGCACUUCGGGGUGGCUCAAGGCCUGCUCAGGGGUGACGUCAUAGGGGAGACAGCUGUGGCAGGAAAGACAGACGGAACGUUUACCCACACCCUCGGGAAGGAGCUGACGUCCACUACCCAGGAUCUUGCUGCCGUUUGCGAGCCCUGACACGGCAAUUAAGCACAUCUGCAUAUUCAUCUGCCGCCCUCCUCCGACCCGGUCACUUAAGUCAGUUCCCUGAUGACUGCCAGAGAGGUCUGAGCAAGCAGCUACUCCAUCUGCUCCCCAGGCCCGGUCAUAAGUCGGUGGCGCCUGGUUCACACUGGGCUUCCCAGGAGGCCGCUCACCUGCGCUGCCCCGUCCGGGCCUCGCUCUGGUUGAUCCAGCUCUUGUAGAGGUGGACUGGGUCAGUGUGGACGCUGAGCGCUCUGUCCUCCAGCACGUCCUGGAUGACCUUGCCCAGGAUCUCCCGCAGGGCACUCAGUCCCCGCCCGUUGCGGUAGAAUCUCACCACCAGCCUCACCACGGUGGGGUUGCCCGUCACCAUGUCCUGGGGGCGCUCCACCCUUGACCUGUGGUUCGAGAGGUCGGGGAAGCGAGUUUCUGUGUAGCUGCUUUUCCUUUCCCACCAUCUCGGCCUCAUCGUGCCGUGCCUUGGGAAACAUCUUCCGGUCUCUCCCCGAGUCGGUCUACCUUGGACCUCAUGGGUGUCACCCUGUGAAGGAGCCACAGGGGCCGCUCAUCCCACCCUUCCCGCCCCUGUGCUCGGGGGCACCCACUGGAUCUCCUCCUGCAGCGCCGUCUUGAACAGCUGGAGCAGGAGGUAGGCCUCCCGGCGGUUGGAGGCGUAGUUGUACAGACUGAAGAUCACCGCCUCCAUGAACCUGGUGGUUUUGUUCUGCGGCAUCUGGAAGAUGAGCUUGGCCAGGACCAUCAUGUCUGACAGCUGCUCCUUGUUCUUCUUGGUCAGCUUCUUGCAGUGGGAAACCACCUCCUGUGGGGCCGUGGGGGACACAACCAGGUCAGGAUGGGUUAGAACCCACGCCGGGGCUCUCUGCGGCCCGGAGAGCAAGACCGAGCCAGGGGCAGCCGUGCUCUGGGGUGAGAGGGCACCCCGUCGGUCGCCUCUGCUCUCAUGGGGGUGAGCCCACAAGACAGCAGGGUUCAGGCUGAGGCACGGCCUACUCCCUGCUGACACACACGUGAGGAGGCAGUGUCCCCUGCCCCACAAACCCAUGUGCAGUUUGAGGGUGUGGAAGUCCCCGCUGAUCUCUGCACCAGCCCGAGGUCGACACUCCCUCCAGUUUGUUAAACAGAAAGCAGGCCCGAGGUGGGAGGCCGCCCACUGCUCGGCACAGGGUCACCCAGCCGGUCACUGCAGCUCUGCCCCCAGGUUCUUCCCACUGUGCCACACACACGGCUGCCGAGGCUUCUCCAAGGUCAGAGGGCCACGGGGCGAGGGCGGAGUGGCACAAUACGACCCACACGUGUCACAGCAGGGAGCGGUCGGCACCCGGCCCUCACCUGCAGCGUGAUCCGGUUCCUCACCAGCAGGCCAAUCUUGACGUCCAUGAGGCUGAGGUCCUGCUCCAGCUGUUGGUUGGAGCGGAUCUUCCUGACCACCUCCUCCUGCAGCCUCAGCAGCUCCACCUCAGCUGAGAAGUCCUGCUGGCUCUGGUUCAGGAGGUGGACGAACUUGCGCACCACGCCGAGGGGAGGGUGGGCGGCGUGCACUGGGGAGGGAGGGCGUGUGGGACCAGCGGGCCCCUAGCCAGGCCUGUGCCCGAGCAGGGGCGGCGGUCUCGUGACCCACGUGACACAGGUGUGCCCAGCCUGGGCCUCAAUCGGCCUCCACACCCAAGGCUCGGCCGCAGUGGCUUCCCAUGCCUACCGCCAGCCUCCCCUCAGGCCUGGCUGCCUCGCACAAGGCUCCUACAGGGCGGUCUGACAGGUCAGAUGGGACGGUCAGUGGGGUUCGGCACAUGGGGGGGUCAGAGAUGGAUGGGGAGCUGGUAUUUAAGCCAAAACAGUCUCCACGGGAAGCUACAGCUAACCAGACACAAGGUCCACCCUCCUGGAGACGUGUAAGCAUUUCUCAAGCAUCUGUGAGGUCAGGACGCUAAAACCAUGGGCUUCCUGACGAGGUGGCUGAGGCACAGAGAGGGCUGACCGCCCCAGGUCACACGGCUGCUACUGAGAGGAGGAAGGAGGAGGCUCUGUGCCUGCAGGGUGUCUGGUAGCAGAACCAGCGCAGGAGCCACAGCUCACUGGCGCAGGUCGAGCUCGGGGAUCUCAGGAAACAGACAGGCUCCAGGCCCUCCCAGAGCACGGAGAACGCCCCCAGCGGCAGCGUGCGAAGAGGUGUGCGUUGGGCAGAGUGGGGUGGCAUUGAGGCAGUGAGGAUAAGAGGGCUGGGCUGCGGGGGGAAGGAAGCAGCAGGCAGGUGGCCGAGGCCCGACAGCUCCGGGCCUGCAUGGCCACUCUGAGGCCCGAAAGUAGCCUGCUGCUUCAGGGCCGCAGGGGCCAUGGCAAAUGUGUAAGAGCGCCGUUAGUCGGUGCCACGCAAAGGAAGACAAACGCACGGGCAGCCUGGAGGGGCCCUUGAGGCUCGACGCGCACAUCCAACCCAGGGAACACGGGACAGGAAGCAGGUGCUCCCCGCAGUGCCCCCACACUGCCCCACAGGGCCUGUGCAGGAGAAAGAGCCAGGGACAGGGAAGGGGCAGUCAGAGACGGCUGGAACCCAGGAAGGGAGGUGUCUUCCGGGCUCUGGCAGUGGCUCCGGGUGGAUCCACAGCCUGGCAGGAUGUGAGGGACUGCGCCGGCGCCUUCUCUGCCCAGUGUAUCCUGGGGGGGCACUGAGGCACCCCAGGCUCUGGGGUCCUGGUUCCCCUUGAGCAGGGGCAGGGGUAGCUCAGGCAGCUCACCUAAUGUCUUGUAGUCAUCCCGGACUUUCCUGGCUCGGAAAAACGCCUGGAUCUUCACAACAGAGUCAACCUGCCACGAACAACCUGAUGGCCACCCUUGUUCUGGUCGCCUGGGCAAAGCCUGGGCAGGGCGGGGAGACACUUACAUUCCUCUGGAAGUAGUGCAGUCGCCUCAGGUGCCGGCUCCGAGCUGCCCACAUGCGGGCCCAGGCCUGGAUCUGGGAGGGAGCCACGGCUCAGAGCUCUGGGCUGGAAGCCGAUUCAGCCACCCCAGCAGUCACAGAGGUGAGAGGGCUCCAGGGACAAGAGCCCACCCGAACGCACAGCUACCUUGACUAUGGAAUCCACAUUUGCUCUAAAAUACUGCAGCCGCUCCAGGUAAGUCUUCCGCUGCCUGUAACCCCGCCAGUGAGCCUAUGGAGCAGGGGAGAAGGCAACCCUGAGCAGGUCUUCAGGGCAGGCUGGAGGCGAGGGAGAGGGAGGGAAACUGGCCGUUUCAAGCUUCCAGCUUUGCGGGGAAGACCCAGGGGCUGCAAGUAGCCGAGUGUGUCCUCUGCCACCCUCCCUGGUGCCAGCAGACACUCAUGCCCUCACCUACAUCACUGCAAUGAAACCUGCUGUUAAGUGCAGGCCCAAGAGAUGCUAACAUAGCGCACACCUACUGGCCACCUUCACCACAGCACCAAAGCCCCCGACAUACAGCAGCCACCCACACCGGCACGGAGUGGGGACAGCAGUCAGCGCCGCUGGGUGCAGGGUGGGAGUGUGAAGACAGCCUGUCCACGGCAGCCCACAGCCGCUUGGGUGAACACGUCUCUUGACAACGGCACCAGCCAGCCCAACUCCAGCUCAGCAGACCUCACUGAGGCACCCAGGGCCCAGCCAUCAGCCCGUUGCCUCGCUUGCCAGGCUGCUGCCAAGGGUGCAACCACAAGCUCCGUCCUGAACCACCCUCCUCUGGUCUUCCUAGGAUCCUCUUCCCUCUCAUCCCAAGCUUGUUGCUGCCUGGACAGUGCCUCUCUCAGCCUGAACCUUCCAGAAGUUCUUGACCAUCUUACCCGAACUCCACAUAUGGCUCUCCAUUGGUCUCUCACCUUACGGAUUCUGGUCAUGUCGUACAUUUCACUUUCUUCCCAACAUGCCUCAGGGCGUUGCCCCUGCACUUUUAUUUGUGGGGCUCCGGGCCCCCAGCCCUGCCUGUACCUCUGAACCCUGUUAGGGGCCGCAGUGACAGCGGCCCCUUGGUCACGUUGAAGAACAGCCCCCACCAGUGCUGGCCAGGCUUCUGCCCAAGGCUCGCUCCGUCUGGGACAGGAUGUAGACGAGGCAGGGUGGCCCCCACUCCAGCCUUCUCCACUACUGCCCAGAGGCCAGGAAGCCCCAUUUCCACGCCUGCUGCCUGCUCCACCCUCUGGGACACGGCAGAGGGGCGGCUCUCCGCUCUUAUUUAUCCCCUUAAAAACACGCCACGGCAGCAGGGGUACAGCUCGGUACAAAGUACUUGCCUGGCCCAAGAGAGGGCCUGGCUUCCAUCACCAACACUGCCAAACAAAACAAAGCAAGCGAAAAGCCACGCUGCGUUAGCCAGGACUUGGGGCCACAGUCGGGGUCCGGCUGGGUCAGGGCUUUUGGGAGAGACCAGUCCCGGGCAAGCUCCUUUCUGCAUCUUACUUCCCCGAGGCCGUGCGUGGCUCUGGCUGCUUCCCUCCGCCUCUCCCUUUCCCUCUGUCCCAGGCCCUAGGCCAGAACCCACACAACUCCAGUAUGAGUGAAAAAUGUUCCUCUGACUCCACCUUCUCCCUCUGUGGCCUGGCCUUUCCCUGGUGUGAAAUUCCAGCCUGGGCUCAGCGGGGUGGGGUCGCUGUGACUCACAGCACCACAGAGAUGACCACAGCUCUCAACUGUGUCCAGAGACCAGUGCCCCAUGGCGAGACGACACAGCUCAUGGCCACCACCAACGGUGCUUAACGCCCGGUCUAAGUGUCAUUUCCCACUUCAGCCUCACCAUCAACGUCGGGGCUGUGUACCGUUGCACCGUCAUGAGUGAGAGAACAGUGCUGGCGGGGCUGGAGUUAAGUACACAAGGUCACGUGACCCGAGGGGAGGCCCAGGAGGCAAACUCCAGCCUCCACAUUACCACUCUGCGGCCCUAGGUCAUAACCGAGAGCCACCAGCCACCUCAGGCCGGGCAUCUGCCUCUCUUGAGGUCCGAAGGUGGUGGUGUAUCUGCUCAUCACAACAGGGAGAGAUGGACGACUCACUGUGGGUCUCACGCCCACCUCCCCUUGGGCCUUGUGCCCCACGGCCCUUGGUGGGUACUGGGCAUUCAGGCAGGGCUCACACACUCAUAAGGCCCCGGAGAUUGCCUCUGCUGGGGAGGGGAGGCCCCCGAUACCCAGCACUCAUAGGGCGCCCCAUGGCCACCUUCCCUGCCGGCCACAGGGGCCACGGUGGCCACCCACAGGCCAGAGGAUGAGAAAAGGCAGAGGCCUCCCCUCUCCCUGGGCAGGCCACCCUUUCUGCUCACCGCCACACCUCCCUUUCCUCCUGUCUGGCCAGAAUGCCCUGCUGUGUUGGAUCCAACUUUAGCCACUUUCCCUAGGGGAGGCUGGCAGGCAGCCUCACACUGGGCAGUGCCGAUGACGCCAGUAAUGAGACUUCCGUCACAGCCCUGCCUACCUGCCAGGCGAGUGUAGGAACACACGGGAUUGCUCCCCUACUCACAACCCUACCACAGCCUGGGUGCUAUUAUUUCUACUUUGAGGAGACUCGGCAGAGAAAAGGUAACCUGCGAGGCCACAUAGCCAACAGGCCAACAGAGAGCUGGGUCUGACCCUCCAGGGUCCGUGCUCCCCGCCAUGAGGCCCACGGAUCACCCUGGCUUCGUUCGGCCAGGACGUAGAGUACAGACAGUGCCACGCUUAGAAAGUCAGAUAGGCCACCUGGAU